rnacentral:rRNA from 1 species
GACGAACGCUGGCGGCGUGCUUAACACAUGCAAGUCGAACGGAAAGGCCCUGCUUUUGUGGGGUGCUCGAGUGGCGAACGGGUGAGUAACACGUGAGUAACCUGCCCUUGACUUUGGGAUAACUUCAGGAAACUGGGGCUAAUACCGGAUAGGAGCUCCUGCUGCAUGGUGGGGGUUGGAAAGGUUCGGCGGUUGGGGAUGGACUCGCGGAUUAUCAGCUUGUUGGUGGGGUAGUGGCUUACCAAGGCGUUGACGGGUAGCCGGCCUGAGAGGGUGACCGGCCACAUUGGGACUGAGAUACGGCCCAGACUCCUACGGGCGGCAGCAGUGGGGAAUAUUGCACAAUGGGCGGAAGCCUGAUGCAGCAACGCCGCGUGCGGGAUGACGGCCUUCGGGUUGUAAACCGCUUUCGCCUGUGACGAAGCGUGAGUGACGGUAAUGGGUAAAGAAGCACCGGCUAACUACGUG